rnacentral:lncRNA from 1 species
UGAAGGUUUGAUCCAACCUUAGAAACAUUUUGGCCUUAAUCAACAAGAUUUUCGGAUAAUCUGCCCCUUGAUUAUAAGGAUGUACUCUUGAUUAGCAGGAACCCUAGGUUAUUUGCCCCUUGUUAGGAGUGUCUUGAAAUGAUUCACCUUUUAAUCAGACCCUUGUUGAAAUUUCCUCAAUGCUAAGUAUUGAUUUGUGAGUGAAAUUGUUUCUUUUGAGAAGUAAUUUUAAUGCAACUCAUAUGCAAGUUUUUUUGAAAUCGGAUAAUGUUACAAGGAACAUGAUAGAAAGAAAAUGAUUAGCAAUGAUUCACAAACAUGAGGAGUCAGUUUAACAACAAUUCUGCUGAGUAUGCUUUCAUAGUUAACCUAGCUUCAAUUAGGUAUUUUGAGGGUUAUAACGUGGCCUGGUUC